rnacentral:antisense_RNA from 1 species
AAACACUCACUCUCCCACAAUGGGAAGAACCCUGGUGUCCAGAGCUACCUCCUCCCCAGGUCCCUAAGCUGGGCCAGGGAAGUGACUCUGGCUGUUAGCCACAGCCCACGCCUACCCUUGCCGUGUGAUUCAGACACCCGAGUUCAGAGCCAGCCUCCAAGAGUAUCUUACAUCCCAGCCUCUCCUGGAAGGCCGUAUGAUCCAGCACUGGGGAGAGGAGGGAAAUCCCCAGGACUCGAAUGCCCAUCCCACCCUUGGUGUAGUGAGGACUCAUCCUGCUGGAAAGGCCCCUGAAGAACUUCAAGUUCCAAUGUCCCAUUUUUACAGAUGGGGAAACUGACAUGAAGAGGAGUCCAAAGUGACACAGUCAGCCCAGAAAUGUUGCUUCUCAAGUCCUGAGUCCACCUCCUAGCACUGCCAAGCAGUCCACCUGGAGGGGAUGAGAACUUCCAGGCUUUGGUAAUGGACAACUCUGUAUCCCUGGAGCCUUCAUUCCUUUUGGCAUUACAGAACCACAAGAAGUCACCUAGAAUCAUUGAGAUUCUCAACUCCAUUGGGCAAACUGGAACCAGCAAAAUCUCAGAUAUCUAGAAUUGCCACUGCUUCCUUGAUUCUGUGAUCAGUCUAUAGCCACAGAAUCCUGAUUCCCUUUGGACAUUCUAGAAUGGCACUUAAAAAAAAAAAAACAACAACCCACCCCGUGGAUCCUUUCAAAGCA